rnacentral:misc_RNA from 1 species
AUAACCCCAGCACCAAACUGAUCCAUCAUCUGCCAUUACAUAUACAUAAAAGAAAUUAGAGGCUUAAAAUCAUCACAAACUACUAAUGGUACAACAUAUACCAGUCAGAAAUCAGAAUGUGGCCUUAGCUAGUACUUAACCCCAAAUGUUAUUUAACAUCCAACAGUUUUACAAAUACCAUAUGUCACUAAAAUCACACAAGCAAUGAGCAUAGAAGUCCAUCUAUGCAGUGAUAUAAAAAAGAGAAUAAAUCUGUGGAGUGCAGCAGUAAAGUGUGCAAAAAAUUUCCACCAUAGAAUCAGCAGAUGUUACAUUAAGCAGGAAAUAAACCUUGCCUUUGCCUCGUGAAAAGCAUAGACAAAGCUUAAUCCUAGUUUUCAAAAUUUAACCAUACCAGCCACACAAGACCUCACCAGACAACUUUAUAAGCAUCAACAGCACUAACAUUUUCCAUUUCUAACCCAAAAACAAAAGAGAGGGAAAACAAAGGUUGGGAAUUGAACAGAGGGGUAAACUAACCUGCAAGAGCCAUACUGUGAUAAG